rnacentral:rRNA from 1 species
UACGGAAGGGGCAAGCGUUGUUCGGAAUCAUUGGGCGUAAAGGGCGCGUAGGUGGUUCUGUAUGUCUACCGUGAAAGCGUACGGCUCAACCGUAUUUUGUCGGUGGAAACUGCAGGACUUGAGGCUGGGAGGGGCUGGUGGAAUUCCCUGUGUAGCGGUGAAAUGCGUAGAGAUGGGGGAGAACACUCGUGGCGAAGGCGGCCAGCUAGACCAGUUCUGACACUGAGGCGCGACAGCGUGGGGAGCGAACAGG